rnacentral:rRNA from 1 species
AACGAACGCUGGCGGCAUGCCUAACACAUGCAAGUCGAACGAGACCUUCGGGUCUAGUGGCGCACGGGUGCGUAACGCGUGGGAACCUGCCUUUAGGUUCGGAAUAACUCAGAGAAAUUUGAGCUAAUACCGGAUAAUGUCUUCGGACCAAAGAUUUAUCGCCUUUAGAUGGGCCCGCGUUGGAUUAGCUAGUUGGUGGGGUAAAGGCCUACCAAGGCGACGAUCCAUAGCUGGUCUGAGAGGACGAUCAGCCACACUGGGACUGAGACACGGCCCAGACUCCUACGGGAGGCAGCAGUGGGGAAUAUUGGACAAUGGGCGAAAGCCUGAUCCAGCAAAUGCCGCGUGAGUGAUGAAGGCCUUAGGGUUGUUAAAGGCUCUUUUUACCCGUAGAUGAUAAUGACAGUAUCGGGAGAAUAAGACUCCGGCUAACNCCGUGCCAGCAGCCGCGGU